UACGGAGGGUGCAAGCGUUAUCCGGAUUCACUGGGUUUAAAGGGUGCGUAGGUGGGUUGGUAAGUCAGUGGUGAAAUCUCCAGGCUCAACUUGGAAACUGCCAUUGAUACUAUUAAUCUUGAAUACCGUGGAGGUCAGCGGAAUAUGUCAUGUAGCGGUGAAAUGCUUAGAUAUGACAUAGAACACCAAUUGCGAAGGCAGCUGGCUACACGAAUAUUGACACUGAUGCACGAAAAGCGUGGGGGAUCAAACAGGG
rnacentral:rRNA from 1 species